UUUAUUUUUACUAGUUUGGAGAGUGAAAUGAAGUUUCAGUGAAUUGGGUGCUUAUGAGUGGGGUUUGUCGGAAUUGCCCCGUGCUAUGAGGCUGACGGAGCUGAGCGCGGAGCUGAGCGCGGAGCUGAGCGGGUCGGUUACCUGAUGGAGUGUGAGCGUAUGCUGGGUCUGCCUGUGGUGCGGUACUGUGGUCAUCCCGGGUCGAGCGUAUCGUCUGCGCAUUACUACAAAUAUGAGAUGAAAGAAAAACGUACAUGAAAUGGACUUAAUUAAGAAAAAGAAGACAAUCCUAAAACUUGACAGGCUGUAUAUUUCUCCUUAGAGAAGAAAAACCAGCCGCAGAUAUUUUUAUUACGGUGAGCGUACCAGUUUUCCUCCUUUGGUAAAGAAACACAAGUACCCCAAGUAUCAUCUACGGCCUUACCCCAUUGGAAAAAGAAAAGAAAACUACACGGGACUUUCAUAGAACGGUGCGGACCGGUCAAGAGAAAAUCUACGAAAGACCUGAAUCAGCAGAUGCAGUAUUUAAGUGCUCCCCAAUCCUGAGUUGCCCAGAUCAUUGUUGCUUAUUUGGGUCGUCCUUCCCUAUCCCUGGCGUGACAUUUAACUUGUUCAUUAUAAUAAUUAUGAUCAACUACCCUCCAACCUGCCUGCCCUUGGCUCAA